rnacentral:rRNA from 1 species
GACGAACGCUGGCGGCGUGCUUAACACAUGCAAGUCGAACGGAAAGGCCCUGCUUUUGUGGGGUGCUCGAGUGGCGAACGGGUGAGUAACACGUGAGUAACCUGCCCUUGACUUUGGGAUAACUUCAGGAAACUGGGGCUAAUACCGGAUAGGAGCUCCUGCUGCAUGGUGGGGGAUGGAAAGUUUCGGCGGUUGGGGAUGGACUCGAGGCGUAUCAGCUAGUUGGUAGGGUAGCGGCGUACCAAGGCUUUGAUGGGUAGCCGACCUGAGAGGGGGAUCGGCCACACUGGAACUGAGCCACGGUCCAGACUCCUACGGGAGGCAGCAGGAGGGAAUCUUCCGCAAUGGGCGAAAGCCUGACGGAGCAACGCCGCGUGAGUGAUGAAGGUCUUCGGAUCGUAAACCUCUGUGAUUAGGGAAGAACAUAUGUGUAAGUAACUGUGCACAUCUUGACGGUACCUAAUCAGAAAGCCACGGCUAACUACGUG